rnacentral:lncRNA from 10 species
GGACUGGCUGCUCAAACUCCACAAUUUAAUGAAAAAUCUCAGAUGAUGACUCAGAAAACCUCUAAUGAUCUGAGGAAUAUAUUAAGGGAUUCCAGAGUCAAAGGCUGAUCAUGGAGGGCAUUGAUGAGGGAAGACUUCAGACCGAGUUGCGCUCUUGUCGCCGAAAAUGCAGUGCAAUGGCAUGAUCUCGGCUGACUGCAACCUCUGCCUCCUGGGUUCAAGCGAUUCUCCUGCCUCAGCCUCCCAAGUAGCUGGAACUAUAGCACGUUUUUCAGCACCAGGACAAGCAUCAUUGCUCAAGGAGAGCUUGGUUGACAACAGGAAGUUAGAAGGAGUCUGAAUUGUAACAAGUGUGGCAAGAGCACCAAGAUCACUGUGUGUGUGUGUUCACAGAAAAUGUACCAAAGGGAGAAGCCUUAAAAACAAAUGGCAGGUGUGGGCACCAGAAAAUCAACACAUCGGGAAGAGAAAAAUGGCAUGGUUUUACUGUAAUUGUAAAAAGACGCCCUAAAGAGUGUCUAUCGGAUCACCCUCAAGUUGGGUCAAACGGCUCCUCUUCUCGGCUUUUCGGGAGCAACCCUAUCUCAACAUUCACCAUCUUAAGAUGAGCAGACUGCAAGUUUGCCUCUCCCACCAGUAUGGGAGCUGCCGAAGCGGCAAGAACAGCGUUUCCGUCCAUCGAGCGCCAGGUCACCAGUCAGCUCCAGUCCUAUUUUGAGUUGAAGUAAAAGCUCCUCCCUA